UCAAAUGUAUAUGCUGUGCAGCAGCAAUAAUUUGAAGUCGUUGUAAUUCAACUUUUUGUUCUUUUAAUUUUAAAAGUUUUUUUUGAACUUCUAAUUCACUUUGUCGUAUUGCCAUUUUUUCUUUAUGUCUUUUUUCUUUAUUUUUCUCCGCAAGAGCAAAAUGUUUUGCCAAUUCAUCAAGAAAUUUGUCAAAGAGUGCCGUCAGAGUUUCUUUCUGAUCCACUGCUUCAUUUUUGUUACUUGUAGAAGAAUUCGUUGGCGAUGCCGCAAGAGGAUCUUCUUGUUGCUGAUUGACAACAAUGUUGCUCGAUUCUUCGUUCACUUGUUUUGAACACGCCAUUUGUUCUCGCAUUUCUGAGGACUGAAGUAAAAUCCAUGUUUUUGCAUCUCAAGAGAGAUCAUUUCAAACAUCUCACGUAAACUUCGAAUUUGAGUCGAUUGCCCUACCAUCGAAUGAUAUUUUUUAUAUUGAUUAAUAAGACAUGCAGUAGCCUUACUGGUCCACAAAUUUAAAGCACCAACAUCAGCACUAGAAGGAAUUGCGUUGUUACUUUCAAAACCGGGAAAACUGUUUUCGUGUUCUUCUUCAAUAUAUCCUUGUACUGGUGGUUCCACUUUGAUUUCCAUUUGUGCGUCGAGGGUUUCUCCUUUUAUAAGAAUAUAUUUACACGUCAAAGUGAUUUAAGCAUGUUUUAAAUAAGCAGAAAACAAUAAUUGAAAAGGAAAAAACAAACAACGUCUAGAAUAUUACCAUGAAUCUUCGCACGCUCUGAUAGCAAUGCCGACACCGGAAGUGAACUAUUUCGUGAACCAGCCAGGGCUAAUAUAAUCCCGUGCGUAUAAAACACCACUCUACAAUAUAACGAGAUAAUAACACCCACACAAGAGUUUCGCGUAAAGCGUGCAAUGAACAAACAUUCCGAGCGGGACUCGCCUCGUCACGGAACGCGAGGAAACGAGCCGAAUGCUCGGGAUUCCUUGUUUUAGGUCAUCGUUCGUUCCGAUUCUCAGAUCCGUCCUGUUUUUCUCAUACAUUCAUUAUUAUUAUUCACCGGAUGCGUUUCCCCCUUGUUCUAAAUGUGUUCGACACAUGUAACAUUUUUUUACUAACUUCGUUUAAUGAUAAAGGUCCAAAGAUAAAUAGCAAAUUUAAUAUUAUUGUUAAAAUAUUAUAUUGC